rnacentral:rRNA from 1 species
UACGGAAGAUGCGAGCGUUAUCCGGAUUUAUUGGGUUUAAAGGGAGCGUAGGCGGGCUGUCAAGUCAGCGGUCAAAUGGCGCGGCUCAACCGCGUUCCGCCGUUGAAACUGGCAGCCUUGAGUAUGCACAGGGUACAUGGAAUUCGUGGUGUAGCGGUGAAAUGCUUAGAUAUCACGAGGAACUCCGAUCGCGCAGGCAUUGUACCGGGGCAUUACUGACGCUGAGGCUCGAAGGUGCGGGUAUCAAACAGG